UUCGUGGUUACAUGGCAGCUCGCUCCGAGAAUAAAUACUAUUAUCUAAUUUUGAUUAGACUGGCCUCUGUCUAUUUUACGCAAGAAGUUACGCAACUUCUCAUCAGUUACCACUCUCUCACCCUACUCUUGUUUUUUAGGUCAUUUCUUCCUCUGUCAACUCUCUCGCGUGGGUGAAAGAGGGUGAGAGCGAGGAGGAAGAGGACAGAGGUCCAUCAACAGAAGUGGUUUAUAAAAUCGGUGACCUGGGCCAUGUGAUAUCUGUCGUGACUUGACUUUAACAUUCAUCGGAUGACUGUUAUUUAUCUAAUCAACUAACUAUGUGUCAUUGUUACCUGACUGAAUUAAUCAUGUAACAAUGAACUCAUUAGGAAUUUGGGGCACAUCUAUAAACAGUCCAUUUAUUAAUAAUAACAUAAUUCGGGAACAGUCGUAACUUCCUGCAUCUGCAAAAACCAGAGCCUUAAUUAAGAUACAAUACUGAAACAAAUUGGUUUAAUUAUGUAUUUACUAGCUAACUAAAUUGUGACAAAGGAUAAACAUACCUGCCCUCCAGGACACCUACACCACCCGAUGUCACAGGAAGGCCAUGAAGAUCAUCAAGGACAACAACCACCCGAGCCACUGUCUGUUGUUCACCCCGCUAUCAUCCAGAAGGCGAGCUGUGGAGGCAAAGUGGGUAAUGAAGCAGGGCCCUGUGCAGGACCAUCUACAUCAGGAGAGGGUGAUCAUGGCCCUCACUCUGACCCUGGUGAAGGAGGUAUUUGAGCACACCAGAACCAAUUCAGCACUGCAGUUCAUAAAUCCUACCACAGCCAGGUGACUUCAGAACAGACGCCAAGCCUUAGACACUGAGCCCCAUUGUUUUAUUUUACCUUUAUUUAACUAGGCAAGUCAGUAAAGAACAAAUUCUUAUUUUCAAUGACGGCCUAGGAACAGUGGGUUAACUGCCUGUUCAGGGGCAGAACGACAGAUUUGUACCUUGUCAGCUCGGGGAUUUGAACUUGCAACCUUUCGGUUACUAGUCCAACACUCUAACCACUGCCGCACCAAUCAAUAGUGAGUGUCAUAUUAUUGUUUUUUAUGGGCACACUUCUUUUCUGAAGCUGCUCAGUGAAUAUAGAACGUUUGAAUUAUUUAGUGAUACUAAGUAUUUAUGGCUGGAUUAUUGGACACAAGUGUUUUAUCUUACCAGCUCUGAAUUAACUGCAAAGGGAUGUCUCAUUGAUUCCGACAUUUUUAUUAAAACUUCCUAUUUUUUUGUAACACAAGGCAUUCUUCUACAUAAAUGAUUGUAUUUUAAUAUUAUUUUUGUAAUAACUUGUAAUAAGUUGAUUUAAAAAAGUUUUGUAAAACAUAGUUUCCUAAAAAGGGAUACAUUCUCCAACAACCCAAUGCCUUUUGGUUUGUCUGUUGUAUGAUUCUCAUUUAAAAUGUAUUGAUCCUUGUAUAACACACAUGGAUAUAAAUUGAAAAAUCCCUUUUGGGUAAUAAAAUAUCAUUGUAAGUGAGAAGUUAAUACUAACCCUUUUUACCAAAGUAAUAGUUGAAAUGAUUUAUUUCUGGUCUCGAACUGUACCAAGGAAACUCUGAACAAAAUAGCCAAGUUGGGGCUUUUAU